rnacentral:misc_RNA from 1 species
GAGAGCCGGGUGCGGUGCCAAGUCGCAUGCCCGGUUCGGGAAGCGGCUCCGGGGAGACGGACCAGUCGAAAGACCGGCAC